GAUGAACGCUGGCGGCGUGCCUAAUACAUGCAAGUCGAGCGAACAGAUAAGGAACUUGCUCCUUUGACGUUAGCGGCGGACGGGUGAGUAACACGUGGGUAACCUACCUAUAAGACUGGGAUAACUUCGGGAAACCGGAGCUAAUACCGGAUAACAUUUGGAACCGCAUGGUUCUAAAGUGAAAGAUGGUUUUGCUAUCACUUAUAGAUGGACCCGCGCCGUAUUAGCUAGUUGGUAAGGUAACGGCUUACCAAGGCAACGAUACGUAGCCGACCUGAGAGGGUGAUCGGCCACACUGGAACUGAGACACGGUCCAGACUCCUACGGGAGGCAGCAGUAGGGAAUCUUCCGCAAUGGGCGAAAGCCUGACGGAGCAACGCCGCGUGAGUGAUGAAGGGUUUCGGCUCGUAAAACUCUGUUAUUAGGGAAGAACAAACGUGUAAGUAACUGUGCACGUCUUGACGGUACCUAAUCAGAAAGCCACGGCUAACUACGUG
rnacentral:rRNA from 1 species